UACGUAGGUGGCAAGCGUUGUCCGGAUUUAUUGGGCGUAAAGCGCGAGCAGGUGGUUCGUUGCGUCCGAGGUGAAAUCUCCCGGCUCAACUGGGAGGGGUCUUCGGAUACGGGCGGACUUGAGGAGAGCAGAGGUAGGCGGAAUGCUGGGUGUAGUGGUGAAAUGCGUAGAGAUCAGCAGGAAUACCCGUGGCGAAGGCGGCCCCCUGGGCCGAACCUGACGCUGAGGCGCGAAGGCUAGGGGAGCGAACGGG
rnacentral:rRNA from 1 species